rnacentral:tRNA from 1 species
UGCCCUGUAGUGAAAUGGCAUCACCACACACUCUGAAUGUGUUAUUUUAGGUUCGAAUCCUAACAGGGCAU